GUACUUAAUAACUGUUAUCAUGUCCCCUCUCAGUCUUCUCUUUUCCAGACUAAAUGGUAAGCAUUUGCUCAAGCUACCCGACAACUUGGCCAACACAAGCAAAGUGUAAGCAGACAUACAAGUUGAAAAUAAUUCACAAAUUGACCCUGUUAUUGACCAUGAGAUUAAAAAGUCUGUUACAGACAAUCCAGAGGGUUUGCACUAUAGCAGAUCAGGAAAAUUGCUGAAAUGCCCUAAGAGACUGAUUGAGAUGUAUUAUGGUUGUAUUUGAGCAAUGUGAAGGGUUGUUAAGUCAGUUAUUGUAUUUGUAAUAGUUUAUUAGUUUAAUUUAAUAGUGUUUUUUUAGUUUAGUCAGGAAAUUUAGAAAGGGAUCUAGAAAAGGGAAGUUGUAACAUAGAGUAAGUCCUCCAGGGAGUAUAGAGAUGCCAAAUUUCCUGAACACUCCAGGUGCAAACUCUGGUUUCAGGUGACACAUUUCCUGCUGAGGCAGAAACAAAGAACCCAGGACAGGACAGUUGCAGGCUGCAGCUACACAGAGGAGUAGUAAGUUUUGUUAACUCAUUUCUGUGCAUAGCUCCUGUUCAUGAUAAAUGAUUUAUCUUGACACCUGUUUGAUCAUCAGUAAGAUACUUCAAGGGCCAUCCCCAUGGAGCUCUGUGCCUCCAAACUGGCUGCCAAACAUUUGCAGCCUCUUCUGGCCAUCCAUCAGCAUAAGUCCUGCAGAAGUAUCCUACACAGGCUGUACUGUUGACCUCUCUUCAUAUGAGGUUAGUUGAUAGCAAUGAGGUGAUAAACUAUUAAUGUAUCCCAAAAAUUCCAUGAGAUUAUUAUGGAGGACAAUGCCACAGCUGCAGAAGUUAAAGAAACAUUGCAGUCCUGUGACUAAGAGAGAAUCUGGUGCACCAUUAGAAUCAUGCAUCAGAAUAUGUCAAUAUUCACACAGAGCAAAGAGGACCUCAGCUUUGAAAGCAUCAUCCAGUGAUCCAUGUACAGUGAACACCUUGGAAUUCCAUCGAUCUACUUGGAGAAUAUAAAGGGCUGAGUCAACCCGAACCCUUUCCAAUUUUGCAACAUCCUUUUUGAAAUGUGGACACCAGAACUGGACACAGUAUUCCAGUAAUAGUCUCAUUCGUAUCAUAUACAGAAGUAAUACCAUCUCCUUAUACUGAAAAACAUGUGGAGAGUGAGGGAUGGAACUGACCCUGAUUCUUUCCUUUAUUAAGUUGCAAGUGCUGACAAGCAAUCUUUGGCCAGAUUCUGAUCUCAGAUACUUCUGGAGUAACACCACUGAAGUGAAGUCGAUAGAUUUACUUCAGAUUUGCAUGGGUGUAACUGAGUUAAGAACUUGGCUCCUAAAAGUCACUAGUUUCCAUGGACAGGACAAGGUUGGAAUGUCUACAUGAUCGUGUAUUAGAUUGUUA